GCUGUUGGGAAUUUGCACCACUUGGAUUGAAGUAGCUAAACCAUGGUAGCCAAGACUGGUAUGUCCAACUACUCUUCACAAGCAGGUUACCUGCAUGUUUCUAAUACAACUAGCUGCAGAAACACGAAUGCCAAUGCUCAUCUGAAA